GACGAACGCUGGCGGCGUGCUUAACACAUGCAAGUCGAACGGAAAGGCCCUGCUUUUGUGGGGUGCUCGAGUGGCGAACGGGUGAGUAACACGUGAGUAACCUGCCCUUGACUUUGGGAUAACUUCAGGAAACUGGGGCUAAUACCGGAUAGGAGCUCCUGCUGCAUGGUGGGGGUUGGAAAGUUUCGGCGGUUGGGGAUGGACUCGCGGCUUAUCAGCUUGUUGGUGGGGUAGUGGCUUACCAAGGCUUUGACGGGUAGCAGGCCUGAGAGGGUGACCGGCCACAUUGGGACUGAGAUACGGCCCAGACUCCUACGGGAGGCAGCAGUGGGGAAUAUUGCACAAUGGGCGGAAGCCUGAUGCAGCAACGCCGCGUGCGGGAUGACGGCCUUUGGGUUGUAAACCGCUUUCGCCUGUGACGAAGCGUGAGUGACGGUAAUGGGUAAAGAAGCACCGGCUAACUACGUG
rnacentral:rRNA from 1 species